rnacentral:lncRNA from 1 species
UACCGGGUUCAAAUCCGCCUGCCGGCUUCUCGGGUGUUUGAGGAGUGUUGAAAUGGGAGGUGGCCCCCCAUCAUAUGGACGAUGUAGGACGUGAUAAUAUCAACUUGCGAGCUGACAAGGAACUAAGUUGAUGCGCCGUUGAUCCGCUAGAUUUGGUUUGAUGCUGGUGGUGAGUUGCCGAACCCAACGAAUACAUUCUGAAGUCGGAUGGGGUGACGGAUUAGGGUGCCCCUCUAGCAGGGGAGAGCAGGGACUGCCCCGGGAAAGGGGGCCGCUGGCGAAGUUAACCACCCUGUAACAAUAUACAUACUUUAUGGAUAUUUACAUAAAAAAUAUAGUACUAGUAUUUUUUGGUUUUACAACCGGCAAUGCGUUCAGCUGAUUAUGGACUAGCAUUCUGCUGAAAGCUUUUUGCACAGGCCACGCCGUUGGGUUUGCCGACGCGCACUCUCGUUCAUCUUAACCUGUGCCGUACGAUGUAGAAUGCCGCCGGCUCACCGUUGACAAUGGCCAUCAGGAUGACCUGCAGCGAUGACGUCAACCGUCGUACAGCUCGUACAGUCAACAUCAUCGAGCGUUGAUGCUCCAGGUACUUCAUCACCGCGGACUUCACAUCCUGGAGAGUCAAUACACCUGCCGCGUCCAAGGUCACGUGUACACACGCACGAGGUCAAAACAACACACCGUACAUUAGCGCCGUACAUUGGCAUGCCACCGGGCGCAACUGUCAAAACGACGCUAAACGAGCUAGUUAGGCGGGCCUGGGUGGCCGUAGGGCUGUGUAAGUCAAAUAGAUAGAUUGAAAUGUAAUAAGUACCUCAAAAUACGGUGGAAAUUAAAUUGCUUCAGGUCUACGUCAAGAGGCGGUCGAUAGGUUCGGAGUCCUCGAUAGGUUUAACUCGGGAGCAUGGCGAGCAAUAACGGGGGGAGCUCCGAGCCGAUUGGCACCGGGCCGGCACCAGGGAAUCCUGUCCUCCCUACCCGCAUCCACGGACCCCCCAUGCAGCCCCAAAAUGGACCCCACGCUUGCUUGCAUGUAUGUGCGGCCCCUCUAUUCCCCCCUCCAUUCCGCCCCCUCCCUCCCCCACCCCCCCCCACACACCGUCCUUGUCGCCGUCCAGCGCGUCCCAGGCGAUUUGCCGGUCCACCUCAUGCGUGAAGAUGCUCGCGAGCAUCUGUGUCGGUGCGACGACCGGGGGACGGUACACGGUGGCGGCGGCGAGUGGACAGACGCAAGGGAGACAUACAUACGCAGAGACACAAAGCGUGUGGAAUGCGACGACCGAGGAUGGUAAACGGCACCGUGCCGUUAACCGUGACGGUUGUGAGUGGCAUGCAAGUAAUAAGGCAAGAAAGAGAACACUGCCAGCUAGGCAUAAGCAACAAGUAAAAAUGGGGUGGAGUGGGCUGGAGUGCAUGUUGUUGUUGUUGUUGUUGUUACAUGGUCGUGGGUGCGUUCCCCGUACCUGCAAACCACCCUAAUACGAGCCGAGGGCUCAAGGGCUGCCAGAUCGCCUAUAAGCACCAUCCUACCUCGCACUUCAAACGAAACAAGUGAUGAAGGAUACUAACGACCAAAGGGAACGAUAGAGUUGCGGUGGGACCGUAUACGUUCCAGCAUGUGUCAGGCAGCGGCAAGAGGAGCCCAGUAGUUGCCAGGGUAAAUGGAUUGAAUAGUGGGGCCAGAUCAUGUCCUAUCGCGUUGCCAGGUAGGUGGUUAGGCAAGAUGAUGCAGAAUGUUACAAGUUCCAAGUUCCACCCAAGUGGGGUCGACAUCCGUACAAGCCGGGGUGGGGGGAACCAUGGACGGUCCUUAGUCAUUGUCGUGGGGUCGAUUGCGGACGUUGUCGUCGUCCUCCCCCGUUCGCCUGAGCUCAACGCGCCUGAGCGCCACGUGCCUGAUCUCACAAUGCGAGGUCGCCAUGCUUGUUGAGGUCAGGUCAUGCCUAGAAGUUUUAGCUUGCGUCAUGCAAUGCAAGUUCAUGUGCCAUCACAAGGUUCCGCCGUGAUCAUUAUCGCCAACCUCACCACCAGCUUCCUCACCACCACCACCACCACCACCACCACCACCACCACAAUCCUCCUCCUCCUCCUCUUCCAUGUUAUCGGCAGGUUCGCUCUCACCUCUUUCUCAAUGGUAUCAUCGCUCCCGGGGAGACCCACACACUCCCACACAGCCUCCUGGAAAGUAGUCGCAAGAGCCGGAAUGGUCGAGUCACGCAGGUUGCUGUAAUCCUGUACAUUGUCAUGCAGGAUUUCAUACGAUGAUAAGGCCCUCCCAGCGGUCAGCAUGACGCCAGGGGGAGAUGUACAGAGAAUAGAGACGAGACGUGCAGAGGCGACACGCGCGUAUGUAGACAGAUAGAAAGCAUGUAGACAGACAAGUAGACAGAUAGAAGGCAUGUAGACAGACAAGUAGACAGAUAGAAAGCAUAUCCUAACGUCACGCCAAGCAGAUAGACCGGCAUGCAAGGCCUUAGCCUCCAGGGGUCUGAGUAAUGCACAUGUGAUGCAAACCAUCUUUGUAUUCUAGCAGCAUUUGGGCUGCUGAGGCUGGGGUGGUUCUGGCGGCCGGUUCGAUGGCCGUAUACGGCCGUUGCGGCUGUUAUGGCGUCUCUUAAUCGGUCAUGGGAUGUUUGAGCAAUAUGGACGAUGUCGGACCCCACUUCAUGCGAUGUCAGUACACCGCCACAAUACCGAGGCAGGAGCACCUAACGCCUACCACUCCAACAUCCCGCACCAAGCUGGCGACCCGCUUGAUUGAUCGGAACCUUCCCCCCCACACACACAUACACAUCACCACCUUGAGCAUCUUGUCCAGCAGUGUCCGAGGGUUGAUGAUCUUGCGAGCGCCGGACUGCCGCAACGCGUGCAGCUGACGGCGAGCGGCCCCAGGGUGGGAUGCCGUGGCUAAUUUCCCGCUGCCGCUGCCGAGGCUGUUAACGUGGCUGCCGUCAUUGUCGCCGCCAUUGCUACCGCCACCACUGUCCCCGCCACUGCUGCCGCCAGCGGUGCCACCACUGCCGCCACCACUGUCCCCGCCACUGCUGCCGCCAGCGGUGCCGCCACUGCCGCCACCACUGUCCCCGCCACUGCUGCCGCCAGCGGUGCCGCCACUGCCGCCACCAUUGCCGCCGCCACUGCCGCCACCAUUAGCGCCGCCACUGCCGCCACCAUCGCCGCCGCCACUGCUGCCACCACUGCCGCCGCCACUGCCACCGCUACUGCCACCGCCACUGCCGCCACCAUUGCCGCCGCCACUGCUGCCACCACUGCCGCCACCACUGCCACCGCUACUGCCACCGCCACUGCUGCCGCCACCAUUGCCGCCACUGCUGCCACCGCCACUGCCGCCACCACUGCCACCGCCACUGCCGCCACCACUGCUGCUUCCAUUGCCGCCGCCGCAGCCGCCGCCACUGCUGCCGCCACUGGCUUCGGUCUUGUUGGAUGGACUCACCUCCUGUGUGGACGGCGUCGGGGCCGCAGGCCCGCGGUCAGGCGGCCCCGGGCGAAGGGCAAACGCCAAGGCAGAAACAAAUGAGCUCAGGUCCGUAUGAUAGAGGAGAAGUAUCAGGCUGUAAACGAAGAGGAAGAAACAAGAAAGGUGUCGUCACAGCUCCUGAAUCUCCUACCGCUACCAUUACCAUCACCAUCAUCGCCAUCAUCAUCACCACCAUUCUGCAGUGUAAGGGCCCUUGGCAGUUGGUCUCCUCGCUUUCCGUCUCUACCAUUCUAAGCACGGUCAGCCAGCACGUCAGAGUCGGCAGAGCCACGAGAAUACGGUUAAGGGAGACAGGAGCACAGAACUACUAUUUCUACAGCAACGGAGUGACAGCGUCGGGACCAGACGGCGUGGCAUCGAUGUGAUCUUUGUGAAAUCUACGUGAAAAUUCACAAAACCCUAAGUGAAUGGUCACAAAAACCCUAAACAACCACAACAAUUCCGACCUGGCCCAACCCGAUGCUCACACACACCACACACCACACACCACAUUCCUUGCCAGCCCCCCAAACCAGAUUCCCUACCUGUAGCCAACCGUACACCACAAGCGCUACCAGCAACAUAUACCGCACGGGCACCGUCUCCGUGUGUAACUGCUGGAUCAACAUCUGCAGGGGCUUGGACUUCCGGUGUGUAAGAGAGCUGAAGAAGUUACUGCAUCUGGCGCGGGGCCCCUUCCUGGCGGCUGCUGCAUCGGCACGGGUGGGUAUCGGCAACAGCCCGCAGCAGCUCCCCAAGUCACAGCAGCAGCUCGGCAAGUUUGACUGCGUGUUCGCUGCCGUGCCGAUUUCGCAUGGGGAACUGUGCUGGCGGCGGAGAGAGCUGCCGCUGAGGUCAUCAACGGCGCCGGACUCCGAAACCGGCACAAAGUUGAGCCGUGGACCUGAAACAAGAUCCAUAUCUGGAUUUGGGCCAGAACCUGGAUCCGAAGCCACCUCGGCAUUAUGAAGCAUUGAAUCUCUGGCACUGGCACUGGCACUGGCACUGGCAGGUUUUUUCAAGUCAAUUUCACGUAAGGUACGGCCGCUGCUGCUGCUGGUGGAGAUGGCGGCGUCGGCAUUAGCAUCCGCGCUAGGGGGCUGCUGCUGCUGCUGUUGCUGCUGCUGCUGCUGCUGCUGCUGCUGCUGCUGCUGCUGCUGUUGCUGUUGCUGCUGCUGCUGCUGCUGCUGCUGCUGCUGCUGCUGCUGCUGCUGUUGCUGCUGCUGCUGUUGCUGCUGCUGCUGCUGCUGCUGCUGCUGCUGCUGCUGCUGCUGCUGCUGCUGCUGCUGCUGCUGCUGCUGCUGCUGCUGCUGCUGCUGCUGCUGCUGCUGCUGCUGCUGUUGCUGUUGCUGCUGCUGCUGCUGGUAGAUGGUUCUUAGGUCAACCCUUCGUUAGUGCAAAAAUCUUUAAUAAUUUUUUGUAAAAAAGAGAAACUUUUAACUUUAAAAAACUAAAUUACUUGUUAAGUUCUGGAAAUCUUAAAAAAUGUUUUAGGAAUUCAUAAAAAACUUUUUUAGAUCAGGAAAAACUUUUAAGAAAAAUCGGAGAUAUAGAUUAAAGGUAAAGGUAAAAAGUAAAAGUUAAAGGUUAAAGUUAAAGUAAUGAGUCUAGAAGGUCAGAUUAGUGGAAAUUUUUUUAAAAAAGAAAAUCUAAAGCUGGAAGGAGAGGUAUGUGUUAUAGAGUUUGUUUUAGGGGCGAUUAGCUAGGGUUGAGAAAAAAGGUAUGUUUUGUGAGAGAGGUUUGGAAGGUUUAGACCGAGGGGAUAAAAAGCGACGAGUAUAAAUUUAUCGAAGGAUGUUGUGUGUGGAGGGCUGGAAAAUAGUUUUUGUGUAUAGGAGAGAUGUAAAAAUCUAGAGGUGGGGUUUUGGCUGAGGUGAAGGAGUGUUAAGGAGAUAUAAGUGCUGGGAGUGGUUUGGUCCGAGCUGAGAGUUUUAUAGGUGUGGUGCGUGGAAAAAAGAAAUAAGAAAAACUGGGUGUAUUUGGAAGAGAACUAGAUGGGCUGCUAAGCUAGUGCAAGCUGACCUAAAUAAAGUCGCUGAAGCUAAAUUUAGCAAGGCACGUCACGACGCGUUUCGGCCUUGCCAGGGCCUCAUCAGGUGACUCUUGCGCUAAGUUUAGGUGCUUUGCUAUGCUAAGAGCCCCCUGAGAUGUAGAAAACGUAAACUGACCGUAGUGGGCGAACUGUACCAGUGUGUGUGGUUGUUACAGUGGGCUCCAGACUCCCGAAGAGUAGAGCCAUCGGGCCAGCUGGCCGUGCACUGCAGUAGAGACUAAUAUACCAAAAGAUUAUCAUCUCAGAUAAUUAACCUCUCAUCGGUAACCGCUCUCGCGAACAAAUCAAUUUGCCAGAUAUAAUCCUCAAAAAGGGGUGAUGUGCGCCAACGGAUUCCCAACCUUUUCGUGGAAUUCCUAAAGCUGCGAAACCCUGAAUGCGGCCCCAAAAAUCAACAAUAACUCGACAAAUUGCUUCUUCCGUAAGGGAAGGACCAGGUAACAGUGCCGGGUUGGUUUUCAUGUUUGCAGCCAUAUAACGUCUCCCAUGCUCCAUGGCUGACACCGCAGCAAGAGCCACAACAUCCCAAACACAUUGUUGCACUGAUUGUGGGGCUUGGAUAAGCCAAAGUUGCUCCCUUGAGACUGGCAAUCCUAUUGAAAGAGUAAGUUGGUCUGCUAUUGCCUGUGCCACCGGACAGGCCCAGAAAUGAUGAUAGCGAGGGGAUACACCUCCCACUGAACCUAUUGGAUAACCUCCACAACCACAUAUCGUGGGCGCGACNNNNNNNNNNNNNNNNNNNNNNNNNNNNNNNNNNNNNNNNNNNNNNNNNNUGCAUAUUAGUCGCUAUUUUAACGGAUAAUUGUUGGAAUCGGAUUGGAGGCCCUACACCCCAUCUCCAACCAAGCCUCGACACUAGGGUUUGAGUAACCGACUCAAUAGGGGGCACCAUCGCUUCCCUAGAUUCUACACUCAGCGGCAACAAAAGACUAGCCGCCUGUCUCCAAUUCGCUGGAAUAUCAUCUAGAAGAGCGGCAAUAGCAUCCAUACAUUCCUGCCAUUUACGAUAGGUGCACAGGGAUUUAGCUAGUGGGGUUUGCGGUUGGAGGUAUUUAUCCACUAUUUGAUGCCAAGCCUUGCGUAUUGCUAGGCCUGCUUGGUCCGUUGCAUUCAUAACUCCAUCCAAGGCCUCUCGCGCGCAAAGAACAUCUCCCAACGUACCAGUGGUGAAGAAGUUUGGUGGUGGUAGUUGGUGUUCGCAGAGCGGUUUUAGUCCAAUCGAUGGUGGUUGUCAAGUGGUGAGCGAGGACGAGCCUGAAUGAAAAACGUAAUGAUAGUGAGUUGUAAAGUCAAUUGCAGUGGGUGUAGGAGCCUGGUUUGGAGGUUUAUGAGCAGUUACGAGUUGGCAUGGCGGGUAUGUAAGAUAUGGGUACUCGACGAGCAAUCACGGAGGUUUGAAUUGAAAACUAGCUGUGUUGCGAUGGAUUAUUUGCGAGGAAAAAGAAAGGCGGACGGCUGGGGAGGACUUACUGUUGGUGGGCGAUGAUGAGGUUCGAACGGUGGCGUUGUGCAAGAUAGCACCGCGCGAAGAUUGUAGGUCUUUGUGGAUUAUAGGGAAUAAAGAUAAGUUGUUGUAGAUGAGGAUACUGAAGAGUGGUGGUAUUUGAUGUGAAAGGUGUGGGCUAUAGGUGUGGCUAUAGGUAUGACGGCGUUCGGUGUUAUAGGCGCGAUUGAGCGAGUUUGGGAAUAAAUGGUGAACGAGAUAUCAGUAUAUGUAUUAAACAGAAUUGAGCUGAAUAGCUAUGGGCAAGGCCACAGGCGGCAUCGGAUGAGCGCGCGCAACGCACGUGCGUGCUGGUGCCGGACGUGUCGUAUGUAUUCGAUCGUAUUUGGUCCCUCUAUUUCCCUAUCUCCCGCGCGCCCGCUGACCUGCAUCGCCUCCACGGUCUUCUGACGACUUCUUUGGCUGUAAGACAGCGCCACUACCAGAUGGCACGCCACUGUAAUCAGCAAGCUCGCGCAGGAGAAGAGCAGCCAGCAUAGCAGCAGCCGCCGAACCCACCGCUCAGCCUGUGAGGGAAGGCACGAACGACAAAAACAACCAACAAAAUUGCAACUGCUCAGCAACUGGCGCCCCCAAACCCUAAAACCCUAAUAAGGUGGGGGAACAGCCGACGGCCUGCCAGGAAUGACCCACUUGACCCAUCUUCUCUUUGCAGGAGAGAAAUAAUAGCUAUCUAAAUAAUAUGAUAAUGACUUAGUGUCUCGCCCUUACACUCACCGAGCUGGAUGGCAGUGGCGGCGCGCUUUCCAGGGCGGAAUCCCAGAACAGCCAUUUGAAGGACAGGAAGGCCGCUACGGAAACCAGCCACAUCUGCACGCACCGAUUCGCGUCAUGGGCACCAUGAGAGCUGUUGGAAAGCGGUUUACCAGUCGGGACGACGAUCAUUCACCAUAUAUCCACAUUGCUACGGGGUAUCAUCUAUCCAACGGGCAUCCAUUGUGUGUAACCUGCCAAAGAUAGCGCUCGCUAUCUGGGCUUGGUAUAUGGGCCAGAACGGCCUUUUAGUGCGUGCCGUCAGCGCUUAUGUGAUACAGGUCGGUCCGCUAUGUUUUCCUUAAGCGCGAAGUUGGACAAAAUGAAGCUGUUUGCCCCCGAUGUGCGAAUGCGGUGUUUUGCAACCCAAGUCCGAGCAAUUCUGUUGUAUGGCUGCCAGGCGUCGGGCCCUUUUGCGCUGGCAGAGGUCGUGGACAGGGUGGGAAGGCGGCGGGAUAAAGCCAACCUUGCGGAGGGCAUGUUCGAAGCCUGUUUGAAGGAUAGCGCAGUCCAGCUGCAGAUUUUAUUCAUGAGGCAGGUAGUGGGGACGGCACGGCCAUCCCACAGGCUGUUGUACGCGGAGCUGGCUGAACUCCCCUUACAAUACUACAUGGUGAAGCAGAUCCUCCGUUUCUGGAACCGCCUUCAAAAGCAAGUGGGAUCCAUUGCUCAUGCCGUUUUACGGCAGGAGAUAACCGAUGCCCUGACCAACCCGGAAUGGGAGGGUUGGGGAAUCUCAAUGUUACGACUGUUUUCCUUCUGGGAGUGCAACAUUUGGAGCGGAAUACCGCAAGAAGUCGUGGGGGUAAAGGAGCGUGUUGACUGGUUGUUGAGUAGACCUCUACCCGAAGGAGCGAUGAUAACGGCACUAAGAGAGUGUUUGAUGAGCGGCUGGGACCAUAUGCGUGUGACUGUCUUGCCAGAGGAGUACCCAUCAGAUGGGAAGCAACCGGGAGUGCAAAUGGCGAAGUAUAAGCACUGGAUGGGGCUGCCCUUUUCGGGAGCCGCAGCCGUCAUGUGGCCAACACAUGCUAAGGUUUUCAUUCCUCGUUUAGCACAUCGUAAGCCAAUGCAGUUUCGUUUAUGUUGCUGGGCUUUGGAGGCAAACAGAGCACGAAGGGGCAAGUACCAUGUCCCCAGGGGGCAGCGGUUUUGCCACAGUUGUGGUACUAAUAGCCGAAUUGAGGAUGAAAAACACGUGUUAUUGGAAUGCCCAGCCUAUAAUGAUAUUCGUGCUGAAGAGGGAUUCGAUCAUCAACAGAGCAUGUUGGAGGCCAUGCAAUGGGAACCCGCACGUCUGGCGAGGAUGUUGGAACGUAUGUGGGCUCACCGAAACUCAAUUAACCCCUUUGGACGCUAGUCUGGGCUGAUGUGCGGUGUUUUCCUUUCCUCCGUGGCUUUUAGGCGUUGUAGUAUUGCCCUUGGGCCUUCGGCUCGUAUGGGUAGUCUUACAGGUAUGGGGUCACGCACCCCCAACCAUGUAACACACACACACAUGGUUGGGGGUGCGUGACCCCAUACCUGUAGAAUUACCCAACAUGCUCUGUUGUUGAUCAAAUCCUUCUUUCGUGUGAACAUCAUUAUAAGCUGAGCAUUCCAGCAACACGUGCUUUUCAUCCUCGACUUGGCUAUUGGUGCCACAACAGCGGCAAAUCCGCUGCUCCCUGGGGACAUGGUGCCUGCCCCUUCGGGUUCUGUUUGCCUCCAAAGCUCAGCGACAUAAGCGAAACUACGUUAGCUUACGAUGCUAAGAACAAGGAAUGGAAACCUAAGCAUCCAUUGGAUGGUGUUCCGCCUUCACCCGCAAUGGCUGCACUGCGCUGCACUGCCAGGCGUACGUGCCGGCGGUCUAGGCUGCACGGUGACAUAUAUGCGGAGCGAAUCUGCUGGGAAAUGUUCGUGCUCAACGCAGGGGCCAAGGAACGAGCCAGCAAAGCGGCAUGCGCUACAGCAAAUCCUACCGCCAGAAGCAAUGCCAAAGAAACAACGGUCUCUCCCAUCCAAGGACGAUAUCUCUAUCGCCGCUAAAAGUUCGAAGUGUGCGCCGCACACAUACCUAACCAUCACACGCUCUCACCAAAACAACGAGUUCGCUCCCGUCGCCGCUACAGCUGUGGCUAUGUUGCAAAUUGCAGUUUACGAGUUCUGCACAAAUGGGGGAGUCCGUAAAAUUCCGGGGGGACAUAGGGGCCAUGGGGCUACGGCUACUGUCCUCCUUCCGAAACACGACAGCAGGACGUACGCCGACACGCUGCAUCGUAUUGCCGGGACAUUUCUGCCAGCAAAGCAUAUUCACCCACCCGCGCACGCACCUUGCACAUCAGACGGGCGGAAGGCAGCAUCACAAGCAAGAAGAAAAAUCUUAGCUGCGAAAAAGCAGGGAAGCAGCAGCGGCGGAGGGACGAUGAGGUCGGGCAUCAACUAGUCUUGCGCCGUCGCACUUGGUGAAGCAAUAGGAGAAGCAGGAGUCUGGGUGAAGCACCUUAUGGAUCACCUCUUCCUCACUUUGGUGCGAGGUGACAGGCGGACAGCAGCAGGCAUUUACAACAGCUGGAUGAUGAUGAAUAAAAAAGACCGACAUGUUAAAGGAAAGGAUGGAUAAGUGCACAGCUAGACAUAUGAGCAAACAGAAACACAGGCGGACAGGCGGACAGACAGAAACACACGAAAGGUGAAAAAUUUAGGUUUGCGCGGGGCCCAGCAGUCUUAGGACCUGCUUCCGUAUCCCCACCUCAAGCCAUAGGUAGACAAGCUCCACCAGGCUGUCCAAAAUGAUCAUACUUGCCAGGACAGAUCCAAGCAGGUAGAGCCAGCGGAGGCCAUCGCACUGGGGUAGGCAGGGGGCAAGGGGGAGAGGAUUGAAGGGCCGUAUUAAGAGAGAGAGAGAGAGAGAGAGAGAGAGAGAGAGAGAGAGAGUGUGCGCGCGCGCUUGUGUUACACGGUUGGGGUUGCGUGACCCCAUUCCUGUAGAACUACGCAUCAUACGAGCCGAGGGCCCAAGAGCACGACCUCAACGCCUAAAAGCCACGGAGAAAAGGAAAACACCACACUAUCAGCCCAGACUAGCGCCCAAGUAUUUUUCCUAUGGAAGGCGUGAUGCAAGGCAGGGAGGGUACGUACGCCAGGUAGUGGGAGUCAGAACAUCACGCGGACACUGCAGGGCACUGAGAUUGUUUACUGCAUAGUUCUAUUAUUACGUGCAAACCAUGAGGGACGGAUAUGUAUGGAUACGCCAAUUCAAACGAACUUACUGGUAGGCUUAUGCCUCUGCUAUCCAGCACCAACGCGGCGGAGAGAAGUGCAGCGCCAGUUCCCAAAAGCGCUAGGAGGAUUUUGGUAGUUGGUGGAAAGGAAACGCUAGCUACUGCAGCGCCCACAGUCUUGCUGUAACCAGCCUUAGUUAGAAGGCUAGAAGGAGGCUCCAUCUCGCUCGACCCUGCUGCUCACAUUAGGUUAGUCGUUCGGCGGCACGGCGACAGUUGCGUUUCCCGCCGCUCGUUUCCUAACAGAUGUUACACCUCGGCUGCAACUAAGAUCUCAUUCUCAAUUAGCAACUACCGAAAACCGGCACAUUCAUCAGCAUGUCAGGAUGCAAGAUGACAAAAUUUUACGGUGGGCGUACUUUUGGAGCUGUGUUAUAGCAUUAUAUAGCUUAGUCACGGCGUACACAGAGCAUUCUUUUUUUGAGGCUUUCCAUGUAGCAAAGAUUCUAAGAGAUUGCUGGAAAAGUGUGGAUGCAUGGAGAUUUCUAUGGAUUAGUAAAGGUUUUCGCCCGAACGCAUCAACCUGCCGUCCAAUAUUAAUUAAUUUGGUGCAAUUAAUAUUUAUAUAAAAUACUUAUAAGUUGCAAUUUUUGUCUUGGUAGUUGGUUCUUGUCCAUGUGCGUGAUGAUUGUUCGGCAGGAGCGAGGGUUGUAACCUGUAUGCUCGGUUCGGGGUCACAAAUAAAAUAUCUUUUUGUUGCAAUGGCAACGAUAUCAUCCAGGUCUCGAUAGCGCCCUGGAUUCUAUCGUGCUUGCGACGACAUAGCUAUCCCGAGAUGUCCCAAGAUGUAUACGUCCAGCAAACCCUCGCAAGUGGCACUUCGCUAGUCAAAGUGAACAGCCAUAUGCCAUGCUACCAUUUUCCGGGUCGCGAAUUGCCUGCUAGCUGCAUGCAGUAGUGUGAAGCGGCCUUGGUUGAGGCCUGGUUUGCUGAAAUUGUGCGGGGCUAGCUGAGCCGUCCUGACGCUGCAUAACCCUUCUGGCUAGCCUCCAUUCGUUUCCGUCCAGGUGCAGAUCUAGGAGUCCCGGUUUAUGGAGCCCUUUCAGCAGAGCACAAGUGAUGAACGCGUGGCAAUACAGGAAGGCAUGCGCACGGUAAGGGUCUAUGCAUCAUAAGUCUGGUGAAGACCCGCCGACCCUGCAGCGAUCACAACCCUGUUGCCUACACCUCCGCGAAUUCACGUACCCAGCACUGCUGCAGGAACGGGCCGAGCCGAGCGAGGCUGCGACCGAGCGCCACUGCUGAGCAGAGAACCUCUCCUGUCGAAGAGCGCAAAACUAAGCGUUACACAUAUCCUUUCGUCGCUUUCGUACCGCGCGGCUUCGUUGUGCCUUUGUUAUUUCGGCCUUACGUUUGAGAGUUUGCGAGGCAGCGCGGCUCCUCUAGAUUUUCUUGGUCCUCUACGUCGCCAGCAACCAAUAAUGGCAGGCAAGUAUCUUAAAAUUUACUUGAGCAUUUCAUGAAUCUAUAUCCGUUUCCUGCUUUACGGUGUUGUGCAUGUUGGAAGGUAAAUUGCCGCAAUUGAUAGCUCCUGCCCUUUUCACUGUAAAAGCCGCAGAGCACGAUUUUCUUUGUAGCGUAGGCCUAGCGUAGGCCUAGAUGUGAAAGACCUGGGGAUUCUCAUAGACACAUGUGAUGACAAUAUCCGUUGAAAGACACAAGGCCUUGUGCCUGCGCCAAAAGCAGUGACGUCUGGAAGGAGACUUAACGUCUUGAAGGAAUGAAUGGUGUUCAAGCGAUUUGACCGAAUUAUUGGUGCUGCCACUGGCUGCUUACGGGCUUUUGCAAUGGAUUUUAAAGGAUCGUCGGGGCAUAAACCUCGUCAAACUUUUAGCCAUGAAUGUCGCAAUCUUGCACAGUGUAAUCUUGGUACAUUAAUAUUCUGUUCGCGCGCAACCCUGUUAUUUGCGGCCGACCUUCCGAUUCAAAAGAUCUUCUCGAGAGCCAUGCUUCAUCAGGACCUCGGGUACGAUUCAUAAUGUGCACCUGUUGCUCCUCCUCAUCGUAAUCUUUAAUGUAUAUAUACUGCCAGCCGCCAGCUACAUGACCUGCCUAUUUUUUUUGUACAUGUCCGUGUUUGUGUGCACGUCACCCGCAUUACUAUUUUUCGUAUGUCAUUACGCAACAGCUCCGGUCCGGUGACACUACCGCAAUAUGCGGCUUAAGGUCCAAGAUUUUAUUCCUGGGUCGACACCCGAUAUUGCCGGGAGCGUGAGAUUAUGGCUGCUGAGGUUUGGAGUUGAGGUCACAGUUGAUGGACCGAGAUUCGCACGCUGGAUUCCUUGCGAUUGCUGAACCCUGUAUCUCAGCGGAGGAUCGGGUGACUGGAUGAGGAGGGAUCCUAGAAGGCAGGAUCACCGCCUUGGACUUGGGGUUCCUUUGGCGCAGUACAGUGUGGUAAUGGUGGAUGGUGCGGUAUGGUGAUAAAUCGUAGAAAUGACAAUAUGUUCAAAUGGCCCAUAAGCCUCCCACUCCGUAACAACAACAGCAGCAACAGCUCUGGAUGCAUCCGAAAUGCUGCCCUCCGCCUGCUUCGCCCCCUCCUGCCGCCCACAUGUACCUGGUGCUAGCUAACAUGGGUUGUGCUCACGCAUGGUUCUGGAGCUUGACUGGGUUGUGACCUGACACACUACGCCAUAGCAUGUGUGUGUGUGUGUGUUACAUGGUUGAGGGUGCGUGACCCCAUACCUGUAAGACUACCCAUACGAGCCGAAGGCCGAAACUCAGUUACCCGCUUUGGACGCUAGUCUGGGCUGAUGUGCGGUGUUUUCCUUUCCUCCGUGGCUUUUAGGCGUUGUAGUAUUGCCAUAGCAUGUGCCUGGCAUACAUCUGUAUGUCUGUGCGUUGAGUUCAAGACGGUGGGUGGACGCGCUGGUCGUGUACGGCAGCUGGGGUUCGGGGUUAGGAUUUUCUCGGCGAACCUUGUGACGUAACCGAAAAGAGCUCAUGCGUGUAUCUGCUUUUCAGUACGCCCCAUGGGGGGCAGCUGUGGGUUCGAUCCCCACGGUGACCGAACGGGCAAGUGCGGGUCGUGUGGCCUGGUGUGUGGGAGAGGCUUAUCUUGUGGUUGCCUAGGACCCGCGACACAGGAAACACACGGCAGGGGCCCGCAUGCCGUUAUUGCCAGUGGAAUGAAUCAGCCUGUGCGAACGUCGUGGUUGCGCCUCUGCCACAUGUCUUUUCCAUGGUGUAGUUUCUAGCUAGCUGCGUACCUUGAAAGAACGAUAACUUUUUCGUGUACUCAGGGCCGUCAUUUCUUACGCGCAUUAAGCUGGUACACUUAUCUUGCUUUUGUUGUUCGUAAGGCCCGUCUUCUUCGGGCCUCUCAAUCGUUUUCCCUCUUUCAAUAACAGAAUAUGGCAUUUGUCUCUGAAGCAACAAAUACCAGGCGAGUUGUCACAUCCACCGCCUGGAUUGGUCGCGUUGUCGUACUUAGUCAGCUCAGAAUUUACAUCAUAGAUGUCUACUUACGGCGAUCGCGUAAUUGAGUGACAUGUCGGUAGUUAGCCCUGCUCACUCUGGCAUCGUCCCGCGCAUGGCCAGCCAGAGGAAAGCAACGGGAUGGCAUGUUGCUCCCAAUAGUGCGGUUACACCGCAUGGCAUGCGGCAGUCUGGAUCCACAUGAAACGGAAAAGCAAAACGAAAUGAAUGACCUACAACAGCAGUCUGUAUUAUAAGCUUCGUGCACUUUUGCGAGGCCGGAGUCUUGCACUCGGAGCAUGUGGUUUUCAAACCCUUUCCACGGCUUCACAACGUCUACACCUUCCCAAUGCAGGCUUGGGAAGCGAGCUCCAUCUGUCCAGGUCACCUGCAGAAUCACUGAAUUUCAAGACGCGUACCACUGUCGUCGUUUGGUCGUUGUGGUGCUACCUGACUGACUGAUUGUAACCAUAAAGUCUUGCCCUGAAAUGACUUCACUAGGUUGCCAGCUUAUUAUUUUCUGAGCAUACAGCACACCGCUAAUUGUGGCCCUUACAAGCCUCCAUCUCAGCGCAGAUUCGUGUGGGGCAAGGAUCGUUAUGAUUUCCAUUUAAUUCUUCAAACAAUGGAAAGUUGCACAUCGUGUCCAGGUCAGCUAUAACUAGCCUGAAUGCCCGCUGAUACUAUGGUGUUGCCGCAAACUAUGAUAUCUGGACUUUCGGUGCGCGGCUGUCCUAGAGGUUACAGUGUGUCCACUUAGGAACACUUUAUCAUAUUCGAAAUUCGGGCAAUAUCAAUCUUAUGUCUCUGAGUAAACAAAAGGCAGCGUCGGAACUUAUUGCCGAGGGCGAUGGAGCAGCUACGGCCUCCUCCCGCCGGACUGUCCAGCGUCCCGGAGCCUCGUCCAAAAAGUCCAGCGGUACGCGUAAUGCUGGAGGAGACAACACGGGCGCCAUCGUGAUCUCGUUACUGCUCGCAGCUGCAGCAAUUGCAGCGACCUACUGGGCCACCACCGGCAGCACCCAAACGCGUCCUGCACCCCCUAACACGGCCCUCCGGGAUAUCGCUCGGCAGCUGCUGCAUCCCAGCAAGGGCAUUCUUGCGGCCGAUGAAAGCCCGGCCACCUUUGGGAAGCUACUGGGCAAGGGCGUUCCUAACACGCUCGCUGUACGGCGGCAAUGGCGCCAUGCAGUCCUUUCGGCUCCCGGACUAGAGGACCACAUCUCAGGCCUGGUGAGUUCCCAUAUUUAAAGAAUCGCAGCAGUAGCAGCACCCGGUGGUACCUCCGUUUCUUUGCGCCAAGUAAUAGCUUCUGGUAGAGGAGGCCGACCAGACGGGGUCGCCAUGGGUCGGUUACACCCCUCCGUGAUCUCCAAAGUCCGAAGAUUGCGCUGCUGCGGAGGAAAGCCUUCAACGACCAAAAUUUUUUUGACCAAUUGCCAAGUCCGUUAAGCCCUAUGAUCAGAAGUCUUUAGGAAAGCUGCGCACAGGCCCAUCGCACCCCAUCCCGCACCCUACACAUCGCAGCCGAAACCCCUCUUCCUACCCUUCAGAUCCUCCAUGAGGAGACGUUCAUCCACGGUGGCCCGGAUGUUCAGUCGGCAGCCUCUCGCGGCAUAGCUGUGGGUAUCAAGCUGGACGAGGGGACAGUGCCGCUGCAGCCCAAGAAAGCGGGGGAGCGAUCGACACGGGUAGGUGGGGUCCUAUCCUUUGUUGAAGGAAACACGUGUAUAUGUGUGUGUGUUUGUGUGCGUAUCAGAGAUCGGGGGAAAGAGUGCUUCAUGCGCGUGUUUUACGUGCCUGCUUAGGAGCGCAGUCGAAGGGUAGGCGGGAUCGAUGGGGAUAUUGUUGUGGUGCGCGCGGCCUUGGUUUCCUCUAGUCAAUCGGACCAGGACGCCGUGGAGGCCUGGCGUGACAUAUCCGGGUUCGGAGUGUGUUCGACUUCUGGGGUGUUGGGGUUGUUCAACCCACCCUACGCCCUCCCCCCCAUCCUUUCCCACCCACCCCACAGACACAUCGCCCGUGAACUUUUAUUGAACGCUUGCUGGGCUUCACUGUUCAUUUGCGGGUCAUUGCCAUUUGAUUUUACGGUUUCUGUUCUCUUUUUUUAUCUUCCGUUCACUCGCCCCUCUCCCACCGACUGUGCCAGGGGCUUGAGGGGCUUGCCGCGCGCUGCACGCGCUUUCGCGAACGCGGCGGUGCCGUAUUUGCAAAAUGGCGUGCCGUAUUCCGCGUGGGUCGCCACACACCCAGCUGCGGCGCCAUCCGCCGCAACGCCGCUGAUCUGGCGGCUUUCGCGGCGGCGGCUCAGACCUGCGGCCUGCUGCCCAUCCUGGAGCCCGAGGUGCUGGCGGAAGGAGAUCACGACCUGCAGCGCGCCGCAGCGGCAGCAGCACGGGUACGGCGGCAAAGUGUGAGGGAUUGCGUGUACGAUAACGACGGCGACGUCUCCGUGAUAGCGUCAGCUGUCCUCCAGCUGUGCUCCCAGCGCGCAUCCAAAUAUCUGACUCAUGCGUUGGGGGGCCUAUCAUUUACUUUUAACUUCGUUGGCUGUCUUCCCAUAAGGGGACCACCCUCCUUGUCCCUAACUUACUCUGGUGUCCUUCCAGCUGUCGUCCUUUUCUUUUCUUGGCUUGGGACUUCGGCAGCUGGUAGUUGAGACUUUUCGGGUAUUAUUGUCGCUUUGACUUUUUUAUUUUUGACAUUUUUACCUCUCUGUAUCUCUCCACGUUUACCCCCUGGUCCUCAGGUUCUUCGUGGUGUGUUUCGUGCGCUACGGCGUCAGCCCGACGUGGAUCCCGGGGGCUUGCUGCUCAAGGUGGCGUUUGUGACUCCUGGUCAGCAGGCUGCCGUACAGGCAGAGCCGGACCAGGUGCGUGGGGGGAGAGCUCCAUGAGACUCAGAAAGACACGUGCGUGUUUGUAAGGUGCGUGUGUAUGUAUGUUUUCAACGGGGAAAAGACAUGGGAACUCGGACGUUACGCGAUAGCGCAAGUGCAGAUUUCCGGCUAGAGAUGAGGGUUUAGGAAAGAAGUUUAGUAAAAGUAGCAGUCAAUGCACCCGUCCCCUCUCUCCUCCCCAAACCCGCCACCGCGCGAUAACACAUUUUCGAACACAACGCAACGCCACAUUUUAUCACGCCUCGACAUACGCCUCAUUUGAAUCCAAUUUCAUUCAUGGAACACGAUUACUAGCACCGUCGCCACGACUAAAUGACCAAAUUGAUUGCCCGAUCCACUCCCGCCAUUUGGCUAUGCACAGGCGCCAUCACCGCCGCGGUAGGUCUCCCUACACAUUCCAUUAACCUCCUUGCCCGCCAUCGUAACCUCAGGUCGCCAACGCCACGCUACGCGUAUUGCUACGGACCGUCCCACGGGUCGUUCCCGGUAUCGUGUUCCUGUCCGGCGGCCAGGGUGAGGCGGCCACGACCGCCAACCUGCUGGCAAUUAGCCGGCUGGCUCAGGAGCGGAUGCUGGCAGGGAAGCAACCCCUGUGAGUCUGUGACCCCUGCACUCUUAACCACCAUACACGACAUACAGACAUACCUAAAAACACACAUACACCAUGUAGCAUAAACCUAGCCGAUGUCCGAACGACGCUAUGCUGCCAAAUUGUACCGCAUUGUACAGCACUGUCCUGUGUUAUCCCUUCUCGUUGCAACCACUGUCAUGGUGAUCACUUCCAUCACUAUCCUUUAUUAACAACACGCGCACCUAGCGAUGAUGAUGUCGUACGUCACGACGUUCCGACCCGCCUCAGACAGCACACGCUGCUCCAUUGCCGCGUGAACAAGCGAUUUCCAUUUUGCCACCCUACCACAUAAACUCUCUCCGUCUGGGCGCUCUCACACACACGCACACAUUCAAACGUGUCGUGUUUUGGGGUUGUUGGGGUUUCAAUUCGCCGAGCUCGUCAGCAAGUUUCGACUGCAUUGUACUGAGUCAUCUCUACACAUGUGGAAUCCACCUCAUCAGGCCUUGACCCGCCUUUCCUUCGGUGGCUUCGUUUUGGCCUUCACUCCGGGCCCCUGCGUCUAAUGCAUCCUCGUCGUUGUCGACAGCGUCGCUGCCUGAGUCAUCUGGAUAGAUGCCCUUGUCUGCUGCUGCAAUGAUGUAGCACCACCCAACUGUGGCCCCUGCCCCUUAUUGCUUCUUACAAAUGUAUGUAUGUAUGUAUGUCCGUGUGCCUCUUGGCGUUCUUGCGUUCUUUCCCCCUUCCCACGCACAGGCCCUGGGCGCUGUCAUUUUCGUUCGGUCGAGCACUGCAGAGCUCAGCGCUAAUAGCCUGGCAGCGGGGCGACGUGGCAGAGGCUCAAGCGCUGCUCAAAACACGAGCGGAGGUCAACGCGAUGGCGCAGCAGGGCCAACAGAAGGUUGUCGUUGGGACGUUGACCGAGGCCUUCUCCCCCGCACCGCCGCCGGGAGGCGGGUUGACUGGCAGAGUCGGGGACUCGGGGUCGCGGGGCGGGUAGGCGGAGUGUGCUGCAUGUCCGCUGCGGGGGAGUACUGUCUUGUGGCGAGAUGGAUUGUCGGAUGAAAUCGGAUAACAGACAAGCUUGCUGCUUCGUGGGGGAGGGGCCACGUAUUUUGGCUUGUAGGGAGAUUCGUGUUUGACUGGCAUGCUCGCCCAGGUUAUGCGCGCGCUGAGACGUGCUAUCAAGUGUGGACCGGCUGUUGGAGGAUUUUGUUGUCGGUACCCACGCCGAAGGCCUGCCGGUGGGAAGGGGACAGGAGAACGCGAUGGCCAUGCUGAAUGACGCUUUGCAUAGAUGGAUUAUGUAUGUUUGACGGCAAGUACGCACCAUGUCCGCGGUCUCCAUGACGCAGUAACCGAUGACGAUGCCAGCAACAAUGCCCAGGACAACCUGCGCGGCAGAGGCAUCGAGUAGCUCUGCAGCGGCAGUUGCGAGCAAGCGGAGUGAAGCAACUCCUUGGCGCACCAUGAGAAUCUUCUCCAGGAUAGAAACGCCCAAUGACUGGGAUGCUUUGCCCAUUGUCCGAUCAACGCUUAAUGCGGUUGUAAUUUAAGUCGACGACUCAGUUGUGCGGCUGUUAUCUUACAAUGGCGCCUGCCAGAUGAUGUAGGUAAGAUGCGAGAUGAUCUAAGUUUUAAUUGUGCCAAGCUUCAAAACCUUGGUGUGGCGGAGAAAACCCAGGGAGUUGUACGACCGAAUACCAACUCCCGCCCUUCGUUGACCUAAGCAAAGAAAUGUAACACGUGAUUUUGCCGAAGUUAUCAACACCAUGAAAUAGGAAAUAAUGCCAGCACAGAAGGAAAGAUAUAAAUGAAGUCGACUGUACGUUUUGGACCAUCGCAAGUCACUGGCACAGCAGCGCUGCAACAGCUGCACCUUGUCACAAGCGUGCCCUUCACGAAGAGCAUUGAUGCAGGAAGGCAAGGAAAAACCUGCUGCGGCGACCCAACUAUACCCAAAACGCACAGGCCGACCGCGCCAACCGACCUCACGGUCCUCUUUACUCCAUCCGUUGCCCACAUCCCCUUAGGUUACAGCCCUUGCCUCGCAACCGGGCGCAACAACCCCUCUUCCGCGCCUUCCUCCUCGUCAUCGCGGCUUGCGUCGCCACCACGCUCCUGGCAGUCUGGUAUCUGCGUCACGAACUGCCUGUGGCACAGAAACGUGCGAGGGAGUCGGAAGCCCUGCUGGCGCCUCCCAGCCAGUCUUUUUGCCGACGAGUAAGCUACGCCCCCUGAUCGCAGCCUGGGGGGACCUGGGGGAACCUUUGCUUUCUUCGCCUGUCUUUCCAAUACCAUUGCAUUCUACAUUGCAUACACCGCAUUUGUGUGGGGUGGGGUGAAGGCCAGUGGGAGUGAGGUGAUCUUCGUGACACAGUUGCGUAAGGUUCGUAUCGCUUCCUUCCCUUUCCUUUCCUUUCCUUCCUAACAAGCCGCCGCCUCUCCGCUUCUCCCUCCCUCCCCCUUCCCGUUCCGCUGUCAGACCCGGCCUCCCUUGGUAUGCGCCCACGGAGGCGACACAACCCACGCGCCGCCAAACACCGUGUCAGCAUUUCGCGCCUCCCUGGCAGCUGGCGCGGACUGUGUGGAGGUGGAUGCGGCGCUCUCUCGAGACGGCGUCUUGGUGGUGAUGCACGUGCGGGAGCUGGCGCAGCUGCUAGGGAGGAGAGGGGUGCAGGUGGGCGUGGAUGUUGGCGAGGAUGUUGGCGAGGAUGUUGGCGAGUGCAGGCAGGGAAGGUAGGUUUGGCGGCCUGGGUGGUCAUGGAAUGAAGAUUUGACCGAAGUACAGGUUCCCGGUACAGGAUGCAGGUCACAAAUACGGUUUCCACACGCAGACACACGAACACACGAACACAGAUAAUUAAACACACACACACACAUUCUCUCUCUCACUCUCCCUCUUUCUGCCUGCCGCAUCGCUUCAUAGCGUAAUUUAUUUCAUGUGCAUCUUCGUAAUGAAGACCCCUCACGCAUUUUCGCUCUUCCCCUUCAUUUACCCCUUUCCUAUGUAACGACCCCACCCCUUUCACUUGCCCCUUUUUUCCUAGGUGGGCGAUCUUCCCUCUUCAGAGUUGUUGUCCCUGCGAUGGCCCUCAGGAGAGGCAGUGAUGAGUGUGGAGGAGGCCGUACGACUCACGUCGCCCUUCGUGUCCUGCGUAACCCUGGACGUCAAAACCUAUAACGAUAAGGUGCGGCAGCGGAGGUGCAGUAGGGGGACGGGAUGGGUGCUAGACUGGUUCGCCUACCAUGGCCGUUAAAGGUUAGAAGUUCUUACAAGUAACCAAGUUGUAAGGAUGCUAGCGUAUAUGCCCUCGUCAAGCGCUGUGUUGAUGGUGCGGUUUCUGUACGGCGGCGCUUUUCUGUAGGCGGGGGAACCUUUGGACGAGCUCGCCAUCGCUGAGGCACUGGUGAGCCUUGUGGCGGCUACUCGCUGUACCAACUGCCUCAUCUGGGCCAAGAGCGACCGAGUGGUGCGGCGGGUGCUGGAGCUGUCGCCGGGUUAGUGAAUGACGCUUGCGGAGUGUUGGUUAGGUGACCCGUGGGUCAGCGCAGAUCACUGAAGCCCGUGGUCAGUUUUUAUCGCUUUUUUUGGGCCGCUUAGCGGCCCGCGGUUUAAUUGGACACGGUAAUCGCGCGUGCAUCAGUGGCGGGUGACCCGCAGGUCAGUUGGUCGUUAAGGGUACGAAACCCGUGCCAGGCGAUUUAGGUCAACGCGUUUUGGGGGGGGGUCGCCCAACCGGACAUCCCUUCCAAAUCUUAUCUCCCGCGCAGGAUAUGCCAAAACCUAUUUAUAUAUUCAAUAACCUCUGAUCCCCUUGCCAAACUAGUGAUUGUGAUCUUUUUGUGCUGUUUUUUCUGUUCGGAACUUUACACCAGGUCAGCGCACUGGUUAUAUUGUGAUGAACGAAACCGAGGAAAGCCGUCAGCUAGGUAUGCAACACCCGCUAAGGUUCGGCGGCGCCGCCGAGGCUGCAACCGCAGGAGCCGAAGGCGCCCGUUCGGGGCCUCUCGGCUACUACGCCCAAGACCAGGCUGCCAAAGACGGCGUCGAAGAGGACGACGAGGACAACGACGGAAUCCUACUGCCGCCGGGCGGCGGUGGCGAUGGGCGCUGGAGGCGGCGGCGGCAGCGGCGGGACCGUCCGCCAAGCCAUCAGGUUCCGAAACCAUCGCAGCCUACAUCCCAUCAGCCCGGAGGCGGCUGGCGCCCUGACGAGCCGGCGGUUGUGGGGGUUCAUUUCGCCAUGGUGGAACCGCAGCUGCUGGAGAUGUUGCAUGGGGCAGGUUAGAGGGUUGUGCGCAUCGGGAUGUGCCGUGGUUAGGAUGCGCUAGGUGAGUGGUGGUGGCGGGAUGCGGGGGGCUGUGUAUGCGCGAGCGGAUGGGCGAAAGGGAGGAUGAGUGGGUACGAGUGGGGUCGCGUUGGGGUGUUCAUACGUUGCACAUCUCAGGCAGACCGUUCCAUGCCCCUGGACGCCAUAAAAGCAACAUUGGACCAGGCCUGACCAGUUGCUGCACCUCCCUUUUUACCUUCUCCUCCUCAUGUCCUGCUCCUCGUCCUACCGUUGCUCAUUUUCUCCUCCUUUAUCCGCCUCCUUUCACGUCCAUGUCUUCCUCGUGCUGGGUUAUUGGCUCCUGUCACCAUACCUGCCAGGCCCUGCUGCUAUUUGCUGAAGCUACUGCUGCCACCGCCGGCGUCCACAGCAAACCUAACCUGCGCUUUCCCCUCCCCCCAUCACCUUCCCUUCCACACCACGGGGCCCCCUGCCCUCUUCUGCCCUCCUUACGGGCCCAAUACGCCGUAUUUCCUGCAGGCAAGCAGUUGUUCGCCUGGACUAUCAACCAGGCGGAGGUCCUUCGCGCGGUCCUGGAUGUGGGAGUGGAUGCCGUGGUCACCAACUACCCCCUCACAGCGCUGGCCGCCAUUGACUCACGCCUAUCAAAGUGCGGCGCCGUGCAGGCGGCGGCCAUGCAGAUAGCCGCUCCGCAACGGCGGGAGCAGCGCGCGGGCGGGGAUUACCUUUGAGGGCCAACACGGCGACGUUCCGGGUUGGAGAGUCGGGAGUCUUAAGAGUUAAACGAAGGUACGGGGGUGCCGUUUGACAAAUGCGGAUUAUAGCGAACCUCGAGCGAACCUCAACCUCAACCACUGUUUUGAAGGUUAAGAUGGGUUAUCCUUCUGCUAUAUCUACUGAGAAAUCCGAGGGCACCCUUCUGCGGUAUUGGCCAGAACGCAGCGGUUAGGGCAAGCCGCGGAUUACUGUGCGGCAAUCUCUUAACUGAAACCGAUGCGACGUGGGGGACGGAAAGCGGGUCCGAGGACGGCAUUGAAGCAAACUUGAUACUGGGAAGGCGGACGUGCGGACGCCCGGAUAAUCGCAACGCAUGGAAGCAUAACGAGUGGGAAAUGUUUCGGACAGGGAGAGGGAGAGGCAGAGAAGGAAGGAGAGGGAGAGAAGGAAGGAGAGGGAGAGAAGGAAGGAAGGAGAGGGAGAGAAAAAGAGACAGCCCUAGAAAGUAUUUGAGACCCAUGAUGUGCCAUCGCCUGUUGAGCGCGUGGUGUUGGUGUAAUCAACAUGUUUCCUUCGGACUACAGAUAAGAUGGUGAUGUGGGCAUACAGUGGGCAUACACACAGACUAAGUGCCAAAACCCCUCUCAGUCUCCCCUAUUUAACGCACGCCAGGCUGCGACCGGCGUACUCAUUAUUAUUCUUUUUUUAUUAUUGCGGGCUAAGUUACAAGCUACAAGUUCCGCACGAGUCCUUGCGGGGGCUAAGGAUGGGGACGAAUCGUGACACCACUUUUGUUUCUCUCCCGCUACACUUUGGACCUUGCCAAGAAUGUCGGGUUGGGCAGUUGUAGGUGUUGAUAUAAUCCGCCGCAUGAGAGUCGCGUAGGGCCGUACAUAACACCGGACCGUCUCCAAGGAAAAUUUGAUGUACGGCAGGCUGCAGUCACCAAGCUCGGUCCAGCGCACCUGCGUGCCGAGGCUGCUUUGUCGCACGUACAAUACAUACACGAGAGCGUACACUAGCUGUUGCAUUCAAACAUUCAAAACACCCAGCAACCAGAGCAACCUAGACUUCCAGAACGUAAGCGCAAGCGCCCUUCCGCGCUUUCCCCUCCCCCCACCUGCCUCUUACCGCCUUCGUCACCUAUAAGCCCCACGUCUGGGGCCGACCAGGGCCCCCGCGGCUCUGCCACCGCCACCGCCACCGCCGCGGAUCGACCCACGUCCGCCACCGUCGCUGCUGGGCCGCCCCGCAACCGCUCCCGACUGGCCACCACCGCGACCUCGGGCCCCCAAACCCACCACCGUACCGCUCGUCCCAGCACCCCCGGCACCGCAUGUCCCAAACCCGCAGCUGUUACCGCCACACGACCUUCCACUGCCUCCAAAGCUCCUCUGCACCGCCAUGCCCGGCCCCCUCCCGCCCGCGCCCCUCUGCUGGCGACCUCCCGCGGCCGUCCCCGCUCCCACCGUGCCCCCUCGCCGCCCCCUACCCAAGCCCCAUGCGUGUGUCCCUUGCCCUUCCUCCGCUGCCGAGCGACCCAUGGUUCUCUCUUGGGCGGUCGCGGGCCCUCCUCCGCCGCCUAUGAGUACCCAGGCGUCCUGCAGUUGUCCUAGGGUUAGUCCCACCAGCUCUUGGAAGGAGGAUACCCUGUUGGCGGCUGACAGAUCCAGUUUGAGUUCCAAUCGGCCUCGUAUGCCCAGAUGAGGCUGUGGGAGGGGGGGAAAGGGAAAGUUGCAUCCGAAAGAGUCUGCCGACGUCCAAAGAAAACACCGCCGCCGGAACCUAAAUCAAUGUGGCGCAACGGCAUGUUGUUAGGAGCAUUCCGGAACCUUUUGCCUUAAGCAGCUUACCGGCAGGUAUGUGGAGGGGGGCCGGUGGCCGAGGGUUAGGGAAAAAACGAGGGGAGGGAGGAGGAAGUCCGUGCAUAUGUAGCGGGGGGCAGCGAAGAAGCGAAGAAGGGACCCACGCCGCCACUAGACAGGUCGAGAAACUGCAACCACCCUGCCAGGGUAAUGAACCCCGAAACAUCGACGCCGUACUAUGCCGUACAGUCGCGUUGGCCCGUAUUCACUCCCGGGGACAGAGAGGAAGAGUUGGAUCAAACCCUUUGGAAACGACAACAUCGACCCAGGUUGCAUCACUGCCGGCGGCUCCCUCUGGUAUGAACCACCAGCCGAUCUCACCCUUGGUUUCUGUAUUAGCCCCCCCCCCCCCGUCCUGUCCCACCUGACGACCUCUGAUAGAUCGGACAACCUCUCCAAUCAAAACCCUUCGUGUUGUUGCACCCCUGACCCACCCCGCUCCCCUACGCCCUACCUACCUCCCUACCUACCUUUCCCCCCUAUCCUUGGACCCUUCAUACCUGUCCGCCCCAUAUCCUCUUCCUCCGGCCCUGCCUAACCAUGGCAAUAGCUAGCUUUCUCUUCGAAGUCUGGGAGGAGACUAGGCACGCAGCGCUCCGGCGCUUUACCCGCUCAAACGGAGCCGGGAGGAUGUCGACAGUCGCCCCCGACACCGUCCGUAACAUUAACUUUACGAACGGUUCAUGGCCGAAUGGCCCCCCGGCUUUGAAUGGCCCCUUCCCCCCGCACCUGUGCGGGUACUGUAAUCCCCCUAACCCCCCUGCCCUAUCCAACUCAAUACUGGUCAGUAACUUAGGAUUUUUUCCUGAUGCUGUAUCUGUCUAACCCUGGAGUAAUCGUCUAUCUCUGGUAUCUGCUUUAUUAGUGGUUAUGUAUCGGUGGUUCGUCUUACCCCCCUGCCCUCCGCCUACCUGCGUCAUGACCCUGACGAAGAAGAAGUCAUGUUCCCCCGCCCCCGAGCAGCCUCCCUCCCCCUCCUCCUCUGCGUCGUCCUGUUGUGCCUCCUGGUGGGCUCCACACACGUCGGCCUGACAGCCCCGACCGAGGCUCUCCGUGACGCGGCCCUGGUACACACCUGUGGUGGUUUCGGAGUUGGGUUUCGGAGUGUAAGUUGGUUUUGUGGGGUGGGGGGAUACAAAAGGGGGAAAUAGCUUCUAUAGGACUCCAGGACAGGACAGAAAGCAGAAUUAAAGAAAGCAGAUUCCAAAAACCAGGAUCCAGAAAGCGGAAUGCAAGGAAGAAAUCCACACAGUUUAUGAGGUCAUGAACUAGUAGUGCUUUCGAGGCUUUGUGGACACUUCUCUCCCGCCAUCACCCAUCCAUUCACCUACCCGGCGGCAGCACCUCCUCCCCCGCCCUGGCAUCCAUGUACCUAAACUCCGUCGGCAGUGCGAAGGCCACUCUGCGCCCCAGCAGCUGUCCGCUGCUGAUCAGGGGCUCGGAGCUGGCGGAGUGGGCUGGGACCGAGGCGCGGAAGUUGCACGGUGAGGGAGAAUUAAUUAAAAUAAUGUCACGUAAAAAAGAUAUAACAAAAAAGGUGAUGCAGCGGAAGGAGAGUUAGGUAGAUUGCCGUGUGUGAAAGGAGGGUUGGAAGGGAAAUCAUUUGCAAAUUGCAGAAAUCAGCUGCUAUGCGGGGGAGGGAGACGGGUGGGGAUUGAAAAAAUGAAAGCCCGGGAAGGGGCAAGAAAGAAGUUAAAAGGACAGUUCCUUCACCACGGGAACGUCCAGCUUACAUGGAAAAGUCUUUCUUAUGCGUUGUUUUAUGUUGUCUACCUGCUUGGGACAGCGCCAGGCUGCAGGCCCUUGGGCCCCCUCAGGGCUCCAGGUAUGGGCCCCUAGGCUACACCUUAGCCUAGAGAGUAGCGCAGCUCAAGGAGGUGCAACACGCAAACACGCACAAAAACAUGUGCACGGGCGGGAGGGCUGCAAAGGUUCUCUUCCUCCUCCUGACGCAUGAUGGGGGGAUGGGCGGAAGGAACAAACACCUGAGACGGAGAGGCGGGAGCCUUCCUGAGAGCCUUCAUUCACAUCAUGUGUCCAUACCGAACUAUGAAAGCGCCGAGGGCGGGAGAGGGCUCUUAGGUCACCCCUGGGCCGAUGAUCCUACCCAGCCUAGCGUGCCUGGCGGCCAAAAACGCACACACGCACACACACAACAUACAUACUGGCAGGUGGCUGACAGAGGCUAAGGCCUGGCUUCUGUUCCCGGACCACCCGGGUUCAAAUACACCUGCCGAUUCCUCGGGUGUUUGAGGAGCGAUGAGUAGGGAGGUGGCCCCCCAUCUUAUGGACGGUGCAGGACGUGAUAAUAUCAAUUUGCGAGCUGAUCAGGAACUAAAUUGAGGCGCCGUUGAUCCGCUAGAUUUGGUUGGAUGCUUUUGGCGAGUUGCUGAACCCAACGAUUACAUUCUGAUGUCGGAUGGGGUGAAUGGAUUAGGGUGCCCCUCUCGCAGGGGAGAGCAGGGAG